rnacentral:rRNA from 1 species
UGGGGAAUAUUGGACAAUGUGCGACAGCCUGAUCCAGCCAUGCCGCGUGUGUGAAGAAGGUCUUCGGAUUGUAAAGCACUUUAAGUUGGGAGGAAGGGCAUUAACCUAAUACGUUAGUGUUUUUACGUUACCGACAGAAUAAGCACCGGCUAACUCUGUGCCAGCAGCCGCGGUAAUACAGAGGGUGCAAGCGUUAAUCGGAAUUACUGGGCGUAAAGCGCGCGUAGGUGGUUUGUUAAGUUGGAUGUGAAAUCCCCGGGCUCAACCUGGGAACUGCAUUCAAAACUGACUGACUAGAGUAUGGUAGAGGGUGGUGGAAUUUCCUGUGUAGCGGUGAAAUGCGUAGAUAUAGGAAGGAACACCAGUGGCGAAGGCGACCACCUGGACUAAUACUGACACUGAGGUGCGAAAGCGUGGGGAGCAAACA